rnacentral:misc_RNA from 1 species
GAUGAAGAACGUAGCGAAAUGCGAUAAGUAAUGCGAAUUGCAGAAUUCAGUGAAUCAUCGAAUCUUUGAACGCACAUUGCGCCCCUUGGUAUUCCAUGGGGCAUGCCUGUUCGAGCGUCAUUUGUACCUUCAAGCUCUGCUUGGUGUUGGGUGUUUGUCUCGCCUCUGCGCGUAGACUCGCCUCAAAACAAUUGGCAGCCGGCGUAUUGAUUUCGGAGCGCAGUACAUCUCGCGCUUUGCACUCAUAACGACGACGUCCAAAAGUACAUUUUUACACUCUUGACCUCGGAUCAGGUAGGGAUACCCGCUGAACUUAAGCAUAUCAAUAAGCGGAGGA